CUUUAAAAAACAGAAAAGGCAAGAACAAAAUUGUCUGUCUCGAUGUUUCGUUACGGAAGACAAUUUCCAUGGCGAAACUUUUAAUCGAAGUUAGAGAACUCAUGAUAUGAACGGCCGCGGCUUACUUGUUGUGGUAAAGAUGGAAACGACUGCUUGUAGAGGUGAAAAUCGAUGGUAGCAAAUCAAAUAACUACCGAUUUUCUAAGAUUAGCUGAAAAACGUCCUAACGAUCCAAACUCGGUAGAUCCACGGAGGACUUCACCUUUUACGAUUUAUUUAGGCAUCCGUGAGAAAAACGAUGAGUUUGAGAUGGUUGACGAAGUUCACCUUUUCAACUCUCUUUGACCAAGUCCUAAGAAGAAUUGAAAGACCACAAAAAGCUAUUCUAUUACUCAAACUUGAGGUGGUCUGGGAAGCCAGACCGGAAUAGAACAACCAAUAAAACAUAAGGAUCUAUGAAACGAACGUGCAUUCCUAGCUAACGAAUCUGCAAUCUCAUUCUGCGUCUUUGGAAAGUAACUGAUCUUGAAGUCCCAAAAACAUAACCGAAGAGUUUGAAUGAUUUCCAGUUCAGUUGAGAAGUUGGGCCAAUCUUGCGGCUGUUCUAUCAUUGCAAUCAGGUCCUUGCAGUCCGUCCCAAACCUCUGACAGGUCGAGUGUUGUAUCAUACUCUCCAUUGCCCACUUUAGCGCUUCCAGUUCCGAGUGCAGCGGUGUCUCUCUUCUCCGCAAGUUCCUUGACCCCAUGAGCUGUAUCUUCUCCAUUGUAUCCUUCCAAACCCAUCCCAUUCCACUAAACUGAGCUGUGUUUAGGUGUUUGUUUUGUUAAAAAGGGUUAAAAAAAUUUCCUUUCAGGAAUAAUAUACUUUUGAAGAAAAUAUUCAUAUUCCAACUACAAAGAUUAUGGAUUUCAUUCUUCUAUGGAGAACAAUAUGUUUUAAAAAUAAAAGAUAAGUUAUUUCCAGAUACUUUGUCUUCUAGAUACUGUCUUCUUUUACAUUAAUAUAAAUCCUAAUUUCCAUAUAAAUAUCGCAUGAUUAGUUUAUUAAUGUGUUUGAAUUUUACAUUUGACAGCUACGAUAAAUUUGAUUUAAGACAAAUACACGUAGGAAGUGAACAUUUACCAUCACCAAAAGGGAGAUCAUGGUGAUACCAAAAGUUAAGUCACUAUAAAAUGAAACAGCAGCAGAAGAGUUCCUGCCUCUUGUUUCGCUGCAGCAUCUGUUGUCUCUUUCACCUGUUUACAUUGGUCCUGCUGUGAGGAACGGACCCUCAUAAACAGAUAGCACGAUCACAAGGGUGUCUCCAUGCACUGCGUUGUACUGGUUCCAAGUAUGCAACACUUUCAUAUGCAUUUUCCAACCACUUUUGAAGGGUUUCACAUCUUUCGAAGAUGUCAUUUUCAUUAUCAAAGAAAUUUUAGUUUUUUCUUUUUGUAGUGAAUGUAGCAGAUGUAACAAAUUUGGAAUAUACCAUUGGAAUCGAAUUUUUUAAAUUAUCCACGAGUUGUUAGUCAAAAACAAUAAAAAAUAAGCAUUGAUUUUUUUUUCUAAUUUAAAUCGACAUCUACCACAGAUACUAUCUGAAUUUUGGAAUAUAUUAUAAGAAUAAGAUAUUCUCAAAAAUAUUGUUGGUAGCAUUUUGUGAAAAUUUUACUAAUUGGUAAAUGAUAUAAAAAAGUUUAGGGUUUAGGGGUUGGAUUGUUGGGGUUUAGGGUUAGGGAGACGAACACUAAACUAUUGUUAUGGUUUAGUUUAGGUAUGUUGGGGGUAUAGAUUACAUAAUCUAUAGUUAAUGUAUUGUAUUUGGUGAAGUUAACGAAAUGUUUUGAUCUGGUUUAGUUUAUGCAUUACUAGGGUCGGUCCGUGCUAGAUUAUUUUCAGUUUGUGUCGAAACUGAUUUUUAUAGUAGACUAAAUAGUUUUGUUAAAUCUUUCUGUCAUUGGAUAUCACCGGAUUGUUUUGGUAUUUAAUUUACUUGUGGUUUGGGUAUAAUGGUCGUUUAAUUUGACUAAUUCACAUCUAACAAUUGCUUCUAAUGUUUGGAUAUUCUCAUUGUGUUUUUGUUAUAUCUAUCUUUUUAAUUUCUUAGAACAUUAUAUGUCAUCAUGACUGCAUGUGAGAUAUAAAAUAUAUGGAACAUAAUUAUUCUUAAUGGAGUGUUUUUAUCAAAAAAAAAUCACAAUGUAUUUCAGACUGUGUUGAGACUUGAGGAAGAGUUUUCUAAGCUUCUCGACUCUUUUGUUCACCAUUUUUAUAUAUAAUUAAGCUCUUAAUCAUCAGUAACAUUGUGAAGUCGUGUAGGACAGAAAUCAGAGAAAGAAUAAAAAUAUUGGCCAAUUUGAUGCCAACUCACUUGUAUUUUAAAUUAGUUCAUACGUUGAGCUAAUUUAUAUUUCACAAAUAUUAUUAGUUUAAUUUAAUAUUUUUUUCCUUG